rnacentral:rRNA from 1 species
UACGGAGGAUCCAAGCGUUAUCCGGAUUUAUUGGGUUUAAAGGGUGCGUAGGUGGCCUGUUAAGUCAGGGGUGAAAGACGGUAGCUUAACUAUCGCAGUGCCCUUGAUACUGAUGGACUUGAAUGAACUAGAGGUAGGCGGAAUGUGACAAGUAGCGGUGAAAUGCAUAGAUAUGUCACAGAACACCAAUUGCGAAGGCAGCUUACUAUGGUUUUAUUGACACUGAGGCACGAAAAGCGUGGGGGAUCAAAACAGG